GCGGCGUGCCUAAUCAUGCAAGCUCGAGCGCAGGAAGCGAGCUGAUCCCCUUCGGGGGUGACGCUCGUGGAAUGAGCGGCGGACGGGUGAGUAACACGUGGGCAACCUGCCUGUAAGAUCGGAAUAACUCCGGGAAACCGGAGCUAAUGCCGGGUAACAUGUUCCUUCGCAUGAAGGAACAUUAAAAGAUGGCUUCUCGCUAUCACUUACAGAUGGGCCCGCGGCGCAUUAGCUAGUUGGUGAGGUAACGGCUCACCAAGGCAACGAUGCGUAGCCGACCUGAGAGGGUGAUCGGCCACACUGGGACUGAGACACGGCCCAGACUCCUACGGGAGGCAGCAGUAGGGAAUCUUCCGCAAUGGACGAAAGUCUGACGGAGCAACGCCGCGUGAACGAUGAAGGUCUUCGGAUCGUAAAGUUCUGUUGUUAGGGAAGAACAAGUACCGUGCGAAUAGAACGGUACCUUGACGGUACCUAACGAGGAAGCCCCGGCUAACUACGUGCCAGCAGCCGCGGUAAUACGUAGGGGGCAAGCGUUGUCCGGAAUUAUUGGGCGUAAAGCGCGCGCAGGCGGUUCCUUAAGUCUGAUG
rnacentral:rRNA from 1 species